rnacentral:tRNA from 8 species
GGAGAGUUGGCAGAGUGGUAAUGCAGCGGAUUGCUAAUCCGUCAUCGUGAAUAACGAUGCACAGGUUCGAGUCCUGUACUCUCCGCCA